ACACUUCACAUUAAGCGGGCAGGGCCUAUAUAGGCCCUGCCCGUUUUUGCGGGCUAUGGCGAUAAAUUGCGGUGUGCAAUAGGCACAGCGGACCCGGGGGCAGUACCCGGCGGCUCCACCAAGAAGCCCGGUUUUCCGGGCAUGUUGACGGGGCCGAACCAGGAUCGACGUGUGUUGAAAAGCACUGUUUUCGCCCGGGCUGAGUACCCCGUAAAACUGUUCAAAACCUACAAGUGCCAAUGACAAUGAAGCACUCGCUCUUGCUGCGUAAUUUUAGGGCCUAACGGCCUGACCUUACAAAGCUAAAGCGCCGUUGGACCCACGGGGCAACAGAAGCGGAUUCCGGGCGUCCGGGGGUACGUAGCAACAGAAACCCCCACC
rnacentral:tmRNA from 1 species